CCUACGGGAGGCAGCAGUGGGGAAUAUUGCACAAUGGGCGCAAGCCUGAUGCAGCGACGCCGCGUGCGGGAUGACGGCCUUCGGGUUGUAAACCGCUUUUGAUCGGGAGCAAGCCUUCGGGUGAGUGUACCUUUCGAAUAAGCACCGGCUAACUACGUGCCAGCAGCCGCGGUAAUACGUAGGGUGCAAGCGUUAUCCGGAAUUAUUGGGCGUAAAGGGCUCGUAGGCGGUUCGUCGCGUCCGGUGUGAAAGUCCAUCGCUUAACGGUGGAUCUGCGCCGGGUACGGGCGGGCUGGAGUGCGGUAGGGGAGACUGGAAUUCCCGGUGUAACGGUGGAAUGUGUAGAUAUCGGGAAGAACACCAAUGGCGAAGGCAGGUCUCUGGGCCGUUACUGACGCUGAGGAGCGAAAGCGUGGGGAGCGAACAGGAUUAGAUACCCUGGUAGUCCACGCCGUAAACGGUGGAUGCUGGAUGUGGGGCCCGUUCCACGGGUUCCGUGUCGGAGCUAACGCGUUAAGCAUCCCGCCUGGGGAGUACGGCCGCAAGGCUAAAACUCAAAGAAAUUGACGGGGGCCCGCACAAGCGGCGGAGCAUGCGGAUUAAUUCGAUGCAACGCGAAGAACCUUACCUGGGCUUGACAUGUUCCCGACCGCGGCAGAGAUGUCGUUUCCCUUCGGGGCGGGUUCACAGGUGGUGCAUGGUCGUCGUCAGCUCGUGUCGUGAGAUGUUGGGUUAAGUCCCGCAACGAGCGCAACCCUCGCCC
rnacentral:rRNA from 1 species